GCUGGGCAUGGUGGUGUAUGCCUGUAGUUCCAGCUGCUGGGGAGGCUAAGGUGGGUGGAUUGCUUGAGCCCAGGAGUUCAAGGUUACAGUGAGCUAUGAUUGUGCCAUUGCACUCCAGCCUGGGCAACAGAGCAAGGCCCCAUCUUUA
ensembl:misc_RNA Metazoa_SRP Metazoan signal recognition particle RNA